GAUGAACGCUGGCGGCGUGCCUAAUACAUGCAAGUCGAGCGAACAGACGAGGAGCUUGCUCCUUCGACGUUAGCGGCGGACGGGUGAGUAACACGUAGGUAACCUACCUAUAAGACUGGGAUAACUUCGGGAAACCGGAGCUAAUACCGGAUAAUAUUUCGAACCGCAUGGUUCGAUAGAGAAAGAUGGCUUUGCUAUCACUUAUAGAUGGACCUGCGCCGUAUUAGCUAGUUGGUAAGGUAACGGCUUACCAAGGCAACGAUACGUAGCCGACCUGAGAGGGUGGUCGGCCACACUGGAGCUUGGACACGGUCCAGACUCCUACGGGAGGCAGCAGUAGGGAAUCUUCCGCAAUGGUCGGAAGCCUGACGGAGCAGCGCCGCGUUAGUGAUGAAGGUCUUCGGAUCGUAAAACUCUGUUAUUAGUGAAGAACAAACGUGUAAGUAACUGUGCACGUCUUGACGGUACCGAAUCAGAAAGCCACGGCUAACUACGUG
rnacentral:rRNA from 1 species